GGUUGGUAAUGUAGAAAGGAUACAUGUAUACUAUGCCCAUGGACUAGAUAGCCCAACCUUUGUUCGCCGGUGUUAUUGGCUCCUAGAUAAGACCUUUGAACACAUUGUCCUUGUUCAUUACCGUGAAACACAAGAGGUUAGGUUCAGCACAAUGCAUCUGCAGUUACUGAAAUAUUAUCUUGAGACAAACUUUUAUCAUUUGGACUACUACAUCUAUUUAAGAUUUGCUGAUUUUUCCUCCAUGGUUACAAUAUUAGAACUUCAUCCAAAA